AUUGAACGCUGGCGGCAUGCUUUACACAUGCAAGUCGAACGGCAGCACAGGGAGCUUGCUCCUGGGUGGCGAGUGGCGAACGGGUGAGUAAUGUAUCGUAACGUGCCUGGUAGUGGGGGUUAACUACUCGAAAGAGUGGCUAAUACCGCAUGAGAUCUUUGGAUGAAAGCGGGGGACCUUCGGGCCUCGUGCUACUGGAGCGUCCGAUAUCAGAUUAGGUUGUUGGUGGGGUAAAGGCCUACCAAGCCUGCGAUCUGUAGCUGGUCUGAGAGGACGACCAGCCACACUGGGACUGAGACACGGCAAAGACUACUACGGGAGGCAGCAGUGGGGAAGGUUGGACAAUGGGGGCAAGCCUGAUCCAGCAAUGCCGCGUGCAGGACGAAGGCCUUCGGGUUGUAAACUGCUUUUGUACAGAACGAAAAGUAUCUGGCUAAUAUCUAGAGAUCAUGACGGUACUGGAAGAAGAAGCACCGGCUAACUACGUG
rnacentral:rRNA from 1 species